rnacentral:ncRNA from 1 species
UCCGUCCGGGUCCGUGGUUGCGCCGGUCGGGAGAGCACGGGCUCGGGUCAACGCCUGGUUGUGCAGCCCUCCGGCAAGCCGAUGCCAGUCGCAGGCGAAACGGUCCACGUAAUCCUCGUCCGCGGGGAGAUCACGGUGCGGCUUAGGGGUAAGUCCUGCCGGCCACACGCCGUCCGACACGGCGUCAGGGUCGAGAAGGCGGGUAGUGGCGGAGAAGCUGCGAGAGCCUCAGCAGGCGGUUGUGGGGUCGAAGACCAGGUCGGCCGGACGGA